AUAUUUAAUCCUUCAUGAACAUUAUAAAUGCUGCUCUAAUUCUUCUUUCUCUCAUUUCAGUCUCAUUUCAGUCGUGUGACCGCAUUCAGAGUGAGGAAUGAAAACUGCAGCGACUCCAAACUCAGAUCUCCUGAAUGAAGUGACUCCAGAUCUCCAUCAUUCAGUAGAUCACUUCUGGUGGCUUUUGGCUGUUUUCAUCAUUGUUCUUCUCAUCAUCUUCUUGAUCCGU